rnacentral:rRNA from 1 species
GCCAGACUCCUACGGGAGGCAGCAGUGAGGGAUAUUGGUCAAUGGGGGAAACCCUGAACCAGCAACGCCGCGUGAGGGAAGACGGUUUUCGGAUUGUAAACCUCUGUCCUCUGUGAAGAUAAUGACGGUAGCAGAGGAGGAAGCUCCGGCUAACUACGUGCCAGCAGCCGCGGUAAUACGUAGGGGGCAAGCGUUAUCCGGAUUUACUGGGCGUAAAGGGAGCGUAGACGGUUAUGUAAGUCUGGAGUGAAAGCCCGGGGCCCAACCCCGGGACUGCUUUGGAAACUGUGUAACUGGAGUACAGGAGGGGCAGGCGGAAUUCCUGGUGUAGCGGUGAAAUGCGUAGAUAUCGGGAGGAACACCGGCGGCGAAGGCGGCCUGCUGGACUGAAACUGACGUUGAGGCUCGAAAGCGUGGGGAGCAAACAGGAUUAGAUACCCCAGUA